ACGAGACGGGAUGGAAUGACCCUUCGGGGGAAUGAAAUCCUAGAAAGUGGCGAACGGGUGAGUAACGCGUGGGUAACCUGCCCUAUGGAAAGGAAUAGCCUCGGGAAACUGGGAGUAAUGCCUUAUAAUAUACGAGAGUCGCAUGGCUUUUGUAUUAAACGCUCCGGUGCCAUAGGAUGGACCCGCGUCCCAUUAGCUAGUUGGUGAGAUAACAGCCCACCAAGGCAACGAUGGGUAACCGGUCUGAGAGGGCGAACGGUCACACUGGAACUGAGACACGGUCCAGACUCCUACGGGAGGCAGCAGUGGGGAAUAUUGCGCAAUGGGGGCAACCCUGACGCAGCAAUACCGCGUGAGUGAAGAAGGUUUUCGGAUCGUAAAGCUCUGUUAUUGGGGAAGAAAAAAGACGGUACCCAAGAAGAAAGUCCCGGCUAACUACGUGCCAGCAGCCGCGGUAAUACGUAGGGGACAAGCGUUGUCCGGAUUUACUGGGCGUAAAGGGCACGCAGGCGGUUUUUUAAGUCAGAUGUGAAAGGUACCGGCUCAACCGGUGACAUGCAUUUGAAACUGAAAGACUUGAGUAUUGGAGAGGCAAGUGGAAUUCCUAGUGUAGCGGUGAAAUGCGUAGAUAUUAG
rnacentral:rRNA from 1 species